UAGAUCAUAAUAUAAUGGUUAAUAUGUUACACUACGAAUGUUUUUAUAUAGGUUCGAAUCCUAUUGAUCUAU